rnacentral:tRNA from 1 species
GGGCCUGUAGCUCAGCCAGGUAGAGUGCGCUGCGCCUAGAGCGGCUGGCUCUUAACCAGUAGGUCGGGGGUCCGAAUCCCUCCAGGCCCG